GCUGCAGAGCUUCCCCACAGCUCACAUCUCACACCUGCAACAGGCCCGCUGGUUUCACACAGGAGGCCCAUGGUGUUGUCUACAGGAAGAGACACGAUUCCCCCUCACAAAUAUGGAUUUGUACUCUGCUCCAGGACCUAACCAUGCAUGUGCACCUGCUGUCCGGAGGCCGGGAUGCGUUGCCAAGAGCGCUUGGAUCUGCGUGAGCUCAAACUUCGUCUGCAUGGGAGGAUGCAGUGACUAUGAGGAAUACUUUUUUUUUUUAACAGUCAGAAUCAGACUCCGUGUCUCACUCUGAGGGAAACAGUUGGUUUUAUUUUGCUCGUCUUUUGGCUGUUUGGCGUGCGUAAUGAUUAACUCUAAUGGUCCCCCACGACUAUUCCUGGAAAUGCUGCAGAACAAAACGGGAGGUAGCCGAGUUGGAAGGCCCGUGACAGGGAGGGUGAGGGAUGGAGAUGGAGAUGGAGAGACGGUGCUUUCGGAAGUGCUGCUUUGAUGAGCUUUGACGCAGGAGGGAAGGAAAGAGACGCGCAGAGCUCGUGCAGCCGCGGCUCCAGCGCCCAAAACUUUUACCCGUAACCGCCUUUAUUUAUACAGCAGAUACUCAUUUUCAAAUGCAUUAUGAGCAGAGGCCAGCCACUGAGGAAGGCUAACAUCCCCAUCAGGGAUAAUUGACCGAGGAGUCUUUCAGGAAAACAGCAAGAGGACGAUCGGGAUGCUCCUGCCCCACCUCCGUCCCUGCACGUCAUAAUCUCCGGACCUGUUGUCAUUCACCGUGGAUCAGAAGACGUCGCUUAUAUCAAACAUCUCUACUCUCCACUCUUCCGUAUCCCGCUUUUUAUUCUUCCUUUCUCCUCCUCUACCCACCCUCCCUCGCUGGGUGACCUCCCUGCCUCCUGGCUCUCUCACCCCUCUCCUCUGGCCCUGGCCCUGGCCCUGCCCACCCUGGGUCAUUUAUCAUGGGCCAGGAGGGGAGCCCCUGGGCCUGCAGGCCCCUGUCAGCCCCUGCAAUCGCCUCUUUGUGGCUCCUAGCAAACAAGUGUCGGAUCAGCAAAAGUCUAUUAAAGCCUGGUGGGCCUUUCUCAGCCAAUUGGGCUCGGGUCACUGAGCUGCUCUCCUUGCUGCUCCGAGAGCUCUUUGUGUCGCCGCCGUUCGCUGACACAGAUCCCCACAAGAUUAAUGAUUUUUAGCAGCCAUUUGGGUCUCAUUCGCGGGGUCCUUCUCUCUUUCUCUCUCUUUGCUCCUUUUCCUCUUUUAUCCACUCAUUCUGUCCUCUUUUUUUCCUUUAACCUAUUUCUUCUACUACCAGAUUUCUCACUUUUCGCUCACUGGUUUACUCCUCUGCUCCUCCCUUUUACUGUUACUCCAAUCAAUGUUGACUAGUGGUACUUCACUUUGUGAGGUCAUCAUUCCAUACAAGUGUAAUUGCCACUAAUGCUCGCCCUGUUUUUAUAUAGUAAUUGUCUCUGUGUCAAAGGAUAUAAAUAAUAGUUGCUCAAUAUGUUACUUGAGUUGUGUGUUUCAGAGUGAUGGGCUCCUGCCUGAUAAAUCCAGAGGAUGUUAAGAAGCUCGAGUAUCCACAUUACAAUCCUGGCAGGCUUCCCCGCACUGUGCCUCCAGAGGCUCAGUGUAAUUUGAAAUCUUGGAGCCUCUUCCACGACUUCCAUGUUGCCAUGUUCUCAGUGUUGUUUCCAGUAAUUACUGCAGGUUAAGUGCACGUCCCGGAGCCCAGUGGAGGCAGCUCUAUCUCUCACCUGGGACAUGACUCAGCACAGCUAAGGUCAUCCGGCCAUUUCCCUGACCACUGGACCACACCCCGACCUACUCUAAACCCACAGGACAAGCACUGUUUACGAAGGACUCGUGUUCACUUACAUCACGUAAUGUAAUGGCUGUUUUACUUACAGGCUGAAUUUUAUUCAGAAGCAGCCUCACACUGGCACGUUUGUCCAUUUGGAGUCUGUAAACACGUGCAUUUAAAACUGAGCAGUUUUUCUGUAACUUAAGGAGGAGUUGGGUGGUCUUUAAGGUUAAAUAAUGUGUACCCAAACAGUUUAAUUUUAGUUUGUUAAGUCAA